rnacentral:rRNA from 1 species
GGGAUAUUGCACAAUGGGGGGAACCCUGAUGCAGCGACGCCGCGUGGGCGAUGGAGUACUUCGGUAUGUAAAGCCCUAUCAGCAGGGAAGAAAAUGACGGUACCUGACUAAGAAGCCCCGGCUAAAUACGUGCCAGCAGCCGCGGUAAUACGUAGGAGGCAAGCGUUAUCCGGAAUGACUGGGCGUAAAGGGUGCGUAGGUGGUUUGGCAAGUUAGUAGCGUAAUUCCGGGGCUCAACUUCGGAACUACUACUAAAACUGCUGGGCUUGAGUGCAGGAGGGGCAUAUGGAAUUCCUAGUGUAGCGGUGGAAUGCGUAGAUAUUAGGAGGAACACCAGUGGCGAAGGCGAUAUGCUGGACUGUAACUGACACUGAGGCACGAAAGCGUGGGGAGCAAACAG